CAGCAGCCGCGGGAAUACGAAGGGGGCUAGCGUUGCUCGGAAUGACUGGGCGUAAAGGGCGCGUAGGCGGCCAUCAAAGUCAGGCGUGAAAUUCCUGGGCUCAACCUGGGGGCUGCGCUUGAUACUUGGUUGCUUGAGUGGGGAAGAGGGUCGUGGAAUUCCCAGUGUAGAGGUGAAAUUCGUAGAUAUUGGGAAGAACACCGGUGGCGAAGGCGGCAACCUGGUCCUUGACUGACGCUGAGGCGCGAAAGCGUGGGGAGCAAACAGGAUUAGAUACCCCCGUAGUCCCUGUCUCUUAUAC
rnacentral:rRNA from 1 species